UACCUGUCCAUUCCAAGGAUUCGGUCCAGCAGAAGCGUGAGGAGGUGGCGGAGGCCCCGAGGGCUUUGCGUCAUCACUUCUGCGGCCUGCGGGCGAGAAGGUGCGCUUCGGGAGUAGCGCGGGAGGACAGGAGGCGCAGGUUGUGAGGGACGCAGGCCCUGGGGCUUCGGUCUCUGUCCUCCGAGCUCAGAGCCUCCAGGCUUCUUCCCGGCCGCGCGCUCAGCACUCACUGUCUUACGGUCCCGAAGCGCUUUAAGGUGCGCAGUCCGCAGGCCUUGCCUACUGAUCUUCCAGCCACCCCUUGAAGGAAGCAGUUGCAGAGGCAUAGAGCCGGCCAUCUCGCACAAUGUCUUCUACCAGCUGCUCAUAGUCCUCUGCAAAGUCAACCAAGGUAACAUAGGGAAUCUGGAAGCCACGGGCGCUGUUGGCCUCGCUUGUCUUGAAGUUGAUCCAGAGCUUCCUGGAACGGGCAGUGAAGGCAAUGGGACGCUCGUAGGUCUGGCAGAUUUGGACUGCCCUUCCCUGGCCCAGCUCUGCAAGCCACCCACAGUUCUUUCUCAUGACGAGGACGUCCCCACACUCAUCCUCAGAUGGCAGGAAGAUCUCUGACGCUGAGCACAGUGCCAAACCUAUAUAGAAACUCAUUUGGGAUAUGGAGGAGAAUAUGCCACCAGUUCUCCAAAGUGGAGGGCGGAUGCAGACAUGGUGCAUGCAUCCAGGGAUUGCCCAUAGCCACAAGCCAACACAAGGACCUGUUCAAUUGGAGGGUGAAGAGGUUCGAUCAAAGGAACACUCGUCUAUAUCUGGAAGAGCAAAGAUUCAAGCCACUGAAUCUGUCUUGGAGCACUUGACCCUUGCUCAGUUCUUCCCAGCAGGAAACCUCUCAACUCUGGCUGGCUGACCUGCUGCCCUAGCCUCCCCCCUCCUCUCGCAGCUGUUGGGCCAAAAGACACAAAGAACGAGCCCAGUCCUCCUCGUCCCCACUCCUUGUGACCAGGGGAUAUGGACCUAAUGAAUCAUCAUUUUCAGUAUGGCUACCCUGCCUUUUUCCUCCACCCUUUCCCCCCAUUCUCCCUCAGACCUGGCUAAUUAAAAGGAAGGGAAACAGAAUGCAUAAUGUGGGUAACUAUACUGUAAUAACAGUUAACACAAAGUGUUUCCAUUUGCCAAGCACUGUUCUAAGUACUUUUUAUGUAAUCACUCUUUUAAUCACAACACAGUAUGAGGCGAGCACUAUGGAAAACUGAGGCACAGAGACAUUAAGUGACUUGUCCAGGAUCACAGAGCUAGUAGGAGACAGGGCUGGGAUCUGAACCCAGCUUCAGUCCUCCUAACUAGUAUCCUACUCUCCCUUUGACCAGUACAGCCUUUCGAGGGGUAGACAUCAUUUCCCCAGAGCCCACUGGGAAGGUCUGAGGAAUGUGGGGUAAGAAGGUUAUGGAACACACCUGUGACCUCAUGCACACACACAGUCAGGGCUCAAAUAUCCUUCCAGACCCAGGAGCAAAUGUGAAUCGCAUGUCCAUUAACUAAGAGGGUUAGGGACCCAUGGGGGAUAGGAAUGAGAGUAGGGAAACAAGGUGGGGUAGGGGAAGGGGGCACUAAGGAACUGGCUGGACUUCUCUGUCCCUUGAACUGAGAUGAAACAGGCAGAUAGGAGACAACCCUUAGCUAUGUCCUGGGUUCUUCAUAAGAAGGAGGUUGAGGAGGUGUCAUCCCCUAAUAGGCACCCUAUCUCUGGUCCCAACCUCAGCCCCUUACCAAAGGUCACUCUGCUUCUGUCCUCUCAAAGUCCUUACCUUUGCACGUCUUCCUGUCUGGCUGCAGCAUGAAGCCCACAGGGCAGGUGCAGUGGAC
rnacentral:lncRNA from 1 species